AACGAACGCUGGCGGCAGGCCUAACACAUGCAAGUCGGACGGUAGCACAGAGGAGCUUGCUCCUCGGGUGAAGAGUGGCGGACGGGUGAGUAAUGUCUGGGGAUCUGCCCGAUAGAGGGGGCUAACCACUGGAAACGGUGGCUAAUACCGCAUAACGUCGCAAGACCAAAGAGGGGGACCUUCGGGCCUCCAACAAAUGGAUGAACCCAGGAGGGAUUAGCAAGUAGGCGGGGUAACGGCCCACCUAGGCGGCGAUCCCUAGCUGGUUUGAGAGGAUGACCAGCCAAACUGGAACGGAGACACGGUCCAGACUCCUACGGGAGGCAGCAGUGGGGAAUAUUGCACAAUGGGCGCAAGCCUGAUGCAGCCAUGCCGCGUGUAUGAAGAAGGCCUUCGGGUUGUAAAGUACUUUCAGCGGGGAGGAAGGCGAUGUGGUUAAUAACCGCAUUGAUUGACGUUACCCGCAGAAGAAGCACCGGCUAACUCCGUGCCAGCCGCCGCAGUAA
rnacentral:rRNA from 1 species